rnacentral:lncRNA from 1 species
UAUUGUUUUUCAGGUAACCGGCUUCCCAAAUUUGAAGAGCUGUGUACUGUUUACAUUCUGAUGGGGAUGACUGGAUUGAUUCAAAGCGCAGUUAGUUGUAAUUGGAGAGCUGUCCAUUAGACCAUCAGCGGAAUCGUUGCAUAUUCUUCAAUUGCAGAAGAAGUUCUGCACAGAAAUGAUAGAUUUUGGGCUUACAAUAUGGAAUGAAACAUCAACAUGGAAAUACACUUCUGGAUGCAGUAGGUGGUAAUAUAUGCAGAUGAGUAACUUGGAAUGUAAUUUCUAUUUUCAUUGAUGUAAAUAUUUUAUCUCGAUCUGAGUGUGACAUAUUUUCUCAAGUAAAUGAUUGAAAUAAAAGUAUACAUGUA